GUUUGUUAAAACCUUAAUUUUCUUUGCUUCUAUCUUCACAGCGCUGUCUUUGUUAACUAAGGAAGGCACAUUGCGCUGUUUUUAUGUUGUGUUGUUAUGUUGCGCUAUUGUUAUGUUGCGUUGUCUUUAUGUUGCGCUAUUGUUAUGUUGUGCUGUUGUUAUAUUGCGCUGUCUUUAUAUUGCGCUGUUAUGUUGCGCUGUCUUUAUGUUGCGCUGUUGUUAUGUUGUGCUGUCUUUAUGUUGCGCUAUUAUGUUGCAUUGUCUUUAUGUUGUGCUGUCUUAUAUUGCGCUGUUUUAUAUUGCGCUGUCUUUUUCUGUAUAUGGUUGGUAGGCCAUCCGUUAUGUCACUUUGGCCAAUCUUUCCCUUCUUGGUUUUCUUUUGUAGUUUUCUUUUUCUUUAUUAUCGUUGGAAAUGGUUAGUAUUGUUUUGGUUGAAUGUUUCUAUAUAUAGAAACAAUUCUAACCAGCCAAUAACUUAACA
rnacentral:lncRNA from 1 species